rnacentral:rRNA from 1 species
AAUAAGCACUUUCAAUAGGAAGGAAUACCUAUCGGUUAAUACCCGGUAGACUGACAUUACCUAUACAAGAAGCACCGGCUAACUCCGUGCCAGCAGCCGCGGUAAUACGGAGGGUGCAAGCGUUAAUCGGAAUUACUGGGCGUAAAGCGUGCGUAGGCGGUUAUUUAAGUCAGAUGUGAAAGCCCUGGGCUUAACCUGGGAACUGCAUUUGAUACUGGAUGACUAGAGUUCGAGUAGAGGAGAGUGGAAUUUCAGGUGUAGCGGUGACAUGCGUACAGAUCUGACAGGAACACCAGUGGCGAAGUGCGGCUCUCAUGGACUCAAACUGACGCUGAGGUACGAAAGCGUGGGUACC